rnacentral:pre_miRNA from 1 species
CGGGGGAGGCCGGAUCCCGGGCUGUGUCCCGGCUCCCAGUGCUCCGGGGCCUGCGCUGUUGGAUUCGCGCUCCCGCCCCGCAGCCCCCU